rnacentral:lncRNA from 1 species
AUGUGUAUAAGAGACAGGUGUACACUCUACCUGCUCUUUCCCUUCACCCCAACCUCCUCCUCCCCCCCGUCCUCAGCACCCUGACACCGACCUCCUCUUGCCCCAUCUCCCACAUCCUCCUUCCCGUCCUCAGCACCCUGCCCCGCCUUCCUCCUCCUCCCCCCCAUCCCCGUCCUUAGCGCCCCACCGCUAAUUGCCUCCAACCCAUUUCUCAUUGCUGGGCCCCACUUUCCCAUCCUCCCACUCCCCCAAUCCAUCCCCAGGGAGUGAGGUUCCUCAUCUUCAAUCUCUGCUACACCCAAACCUGCCAGGUUCCCCUUUUCAACCACUGUGGGGUCAUCCAGCCCGCCGACACCCAUCCACUCUGGGCUCUCUAAAUCCCACAUUCCCACAAUGCACCUUGGUAACGCCACUCUCCUCUCUCCCUAAUCCCCCUAUUCCCUUCCCUUAGGUCCUCCUGGACACCCCAACCCACAGUCAGGCCCCCACAUACAUCCCAGUCAUUCACAUGCUGAGCUAGUUCUUCAGAGACCCCCACAGUCCACCAAACUUCUCCUUCCAUGAGCCCCAUAGACCUGUGGCCAGGAAGGUGAGGAAGCUCCCACUUUGGCUGGGCUGGCUGUGGGUGUUAAUCUUUUCCUGUCUUGUGUAUGCUGUGCUCACAAAGGCUUUUUGCUCCCUCAGGGUGAGGUGUGGUUUUGGCCAAAGAUGAGGUGUUUUGGUAGCCCUGUGGAUGCUGUGUGGUGUCUGGAAUGGGGCGUGUGUGUUCCCAUCAUGCCCCUUCCCCUCUGCCAGCAGAGCUGAGGACAGACAAGUCUGAGGAGCAGAGCAGGAGCUCUGGGAAGGAGAAGAGCAAUAUGAAGAUGGAGUGUAAGAUGAGGCCAGCAAGGGAAAAGAAGUCACGGGGACGGAGUCCAGCCCUGAGGUGAGAUGGAAAGUGAUCAAGAGCAGUGACAGCAUUGUUGAGGGGUGCAGGGCUCCAGGUAACUGGCAAUAUGGCGUGGGGUCAGAAGUUUACAUUCUCAGGCCUACGACUGCCUUUCGAGCUAAACAAUAUGUUCCUUUAAAGUUAGCAUGAGUACAUGUAAUCAUUUAUCAUUUUCUUGUGUUCUUUUGUUUAUGGUACAAGAUGUAUUCGAUCAAAGGAGGCGGGAGGUUAGUAGUAUGGGUUAAGGAUAUAGUUAAUUAAAAGAUCUGGUAGUUAAUGAAUUGUAAAUGAUGAAUUGUAGCACCUGUGAACAUCUUUGUAAACAAGUAAGGUAUAUAAGACAUGGCAAUGAAUAGUGAUGUGUGCAUGAUCUGAGAUUUUAUAUCUCCUUGCACCUUAUUUGACUCAAAUAAAGAUACUUGCUUCUCCA